rnacentral:rRNA from 1 species
CGCUGAUGGGCCUGGGCGGGAGACUGCCUGGGAGAGUAGGUCGUUGCGACGU